AGUGGGAGUUGCAUGGCAAUAUAUCUCGGAAUGGGUAUGAAAAUGCCAUAGUAGGUAGGUAUGGUGACUGUUUUGAGGAAGGCAUAUGGUGGGUUUGUGUACCGGCGGAAGUUGCGCGGCACUAGAGAGGCUAGCAAAGGUGGAAGGUGAAAGUGCAUAUAUACCAUGGCCUCACAUUAGUCAUGAAGAACUCACAUACUUGUUGCGAACGUUUUUGUUAG
rnacentral:lncRNA from 1 species